UACGGAUAUAUCAGGUUUAAACACCGGUUUCCAUACGAUGACCGAAGUUAAGCAACACCGAACCUAGUCAGUACCUAGAUGGGUAACCGCUUGGAAAUAACAGAUGCUGCAAG